rnacentral:rRNA from 1 species
UACGUAGGGGGCUAGCGUUGUCCGGAAUCAUUGGGCGUAAAGCGCGUGUAGGCGGUCCGGUAAGUCCGCUGUGAAAGUCGGGGCUCAACCCUCGAAUGCCGGUGGAUACUGUCGGGCUAGAGUGCGGAAGAGGCGAGUGGAAUUCCUGGUGUAGCGGUGAAAUGCGCAGAUAUCAGGAGGAACACCAAUUGCGAAGGCAGCUCGCUGGGACGUUACUGACGCUGAGACGCGAAAGCGUGGGAGCGAACAGG